rnacentral:rRNA from 1 species
CCUACGGGCGGCAGCAGUGAGGAAUAGUGGUCAAUGGGCGAGAGCCUGAACCAGCCAAGUCGCGUGAAGGAUGAAGGAUCUAUGGUUUGUAAACUUCGUUUAUAGGGGAAUAAAGUGAGGAACGUGUUCCUUUUUGUAUGUACCAUAUGAAUAAGCAUCGGCUAACUCCGUGCCAGCAGCCGCGGUAAUACGGAGGAUGCGAGCGUUAUCCGGAUUUAUGGGGUUUAAAGGGUGCGUAGGUGGUUAAUUAAGUCAGCGGUGAAAGUUUGUGGCUCCACCAUAAAAUGGCCGUUGAAACUGGUUGCCUUGAGUAUAUUUGAGUUCGGCGGCCUGCGUGUUGUAGCG